CUGGGACGGGGCCGGGGACGGGGCCGGGGACGGGGCCGGGGACGCGCGCGAGCUAUUACCAGAGUUUUGGUCCCGUUCUUGCUGAGGGGGCCCCGGAAAACUCCCUUGAUGUUGCGAAAGUGUCCGUUGCGGAGCCGCGUGGAGCUGAUGACAAUGUAGUAACACUCCAUGGGGCCCCGCCGCCUCCCGCCCGGCGCUGGGGCCCCGCCGCCGCCGCCGCCGCCGCCCCGCACGCCGGGGGCCACGCUCACUCCGCCCCGCGGCCGCGCGCGCCGCCCCCCCGCCGCCCCCGCGCCCGCGCCCGCGCCCGCGCCCGCCCCCGCGCCCGCCCCCGCAUGCCCCCCGCCCCCCGCCCCCCGCCGGCCGCAGGGCCCCGAGCGCGUCAGUGGCGGCGGCAGUGGCGGCGGCGGCGGCCCGGGAGUCGCGGCGGCCGGCGGGCAUGAGGGCUGUUAUAGUGCGCGGCGUCGCCGGUCCGCCGCACCGAGCCAAUGGCAGGGAGCCACUGGGCUGGCACGGGGAGCUGUCACGGCCGCGCAGCUGGCGCCCGCCCCCGCCCCCGCCAGGGGGAGCGCCCCGGGAGCCGCCGAGCCGCGGCCGCCGCCGCCCGCCCGCCCCCCGGGAGCCCGGGACUCCGGCGAGGUCGAGGUGUCAGGACAUCUGCACUCGGGCCGCCCACCCCUAGGGCUCCGCACGGCGGGGGCUCCGCACACUACACCCCGGUCCUCGGCCUCGCAGGGAGCCCGGCCGCCCCCCGGACACCAGCCCUGGAGAGAGGAAGAGAAGACAAGGGGACAGAAGAAGUGCUUCCCGCAGAGGGGACACUGCUGUCUGCUGGAUUUAAAAGUGCGGCCUCUUUGAAACAAAUACCGUGAUCUACCAGAUCCAAUACCACAUCAAUUAUAAGACGUACCCUUUUUAUCUCCACUAUAAAUGCAAAAGCACUGUCAAUUAACUGCAAGAAGCCACUGAUUAUAAGACAUCUGAGUUAUGGAGAUGUUGAAAACAAAAAGGCAUCUUAGAACCCAUGAACUACGAAACCUGAAUUUGUGAAGACAGUACUACAUUUAAAGACUCACUGGAACUCGCCUUAAAUAACGUCCAGCUAAAGCAACCAUGCGACACUGAAUGAAUCAUGACUUAGCUGCAGUUAUUUCACUUCUAAAAGAAAAGGAAUAAACUAGGUAUUAUCUUGUUCUCAAGCUUUAAUCUCUCUGAUUGGCAACUUCCCUAGAUUUGAUAUUGGUCAGGCCUGGAAGAACAGAACAUCAAUUUAGUUUUCUACUCGAGGAUGUGCGUCUUGAAUGGCUGGAGGAAAUGCAGAAAUUGUGGAAAUGUGGGAAUUAGUGAAAAUGCAAAAUGGAUCAGAGAGAAAUUUCACGAAUUUGCUUAGGUUCAACCCUAACAG
rnacentral:lncRNA from 1 species